rnacentral:rRNA from 1 species
ACGCCGCGUGCGGGAUGACGGCCUUCGGGUUGUAAACCGCUUUUGAUCGGGAGCAAGCCUUCGGGUGAGUGUACCUUUCGAAUAAGCACCGGCUAACUACGUGCCAGCAGCCGCGGUAAUACGUAGGGUGCAAGCGUUAUCCGGAAUUAUUGGGCGUAAAGGGCUCGUAGGCGGUUCGUCGCGUCCGGUGUGAAAGUCCAUCGCUUAACGGUGGAUCUGCGCCGGGUACGGGCGGGCUGGAGUGCGGUAGGGGAGACUGGAAUUCCCGGUGUAACGGUGGAAUGUGUAGAUAUCGGGAAGAACACCAAUGGCGAAGGCAGGUCUCUGGGCCGUUACUGACGCUGAGGAGCGAAAGCGUGGGGAGCGAACAGGAUUAGAUACCCUGGUAGUCCACGCCGUAAACGGUGGAUGCUGGAUGUGGGGCCCGUUCCACGGGUUCCGUGUCGGAGCUAACGCGUUAAGCAUCCCGCCUGGGGAGUACGGCCGCAAGGCUAAAACUCAAAGAAAUUGACGGGGGCCCGCACAAGCGGCGGAGCAUGCGGAUUAAUUCGAUGCAACGCGAAGAACCUUACCUGGGCUUGACAUGUUCCCGACAGCCGUAGAGAUAUGGCCUCCCUUCGGGGCGGGUUCACAGGUGGUGCAUGGUCGUCGUCAGCUCGUGUCGUGAGAUGUUGGGUUAAGUCCCGCAACGAGCGCAACCCCCGCCCUGUGUUGCCAGCACGUCAUGGUGGGAACUCACGGGGGACCGCCGGGGUCAACUCGGAGGAAGGUGGGGAUGACGUCAGAUCAUCAUGCCCCUUACGUCCAGGGCUUCACGCAUGCUACAAUGGCCGGUACAACGGGAUGCGACACGGCGACGUGGAGCGGAUCCCUGAAAACCGGUCUCAGUUCGGAUUGGAGUCUGCAACCCGACUCCAUGAAGGCGGAGUCGCUAGUAAUCGCGGAUCAGCAACGCCGCGGUGAAUGCGUUCCCGGGCCUUGUACACACCGCCCGUCAAGUCAUGAAAGUGGGUAGCACCCGAAGCCGGUGGCCUAACCCUUUGUGGAUGGAGCCGUCUAAGGUGAGACUCGUGAUUGGGACUAAGUCGUAACAAGGUAGCCGUACCGGAAGGUGCGGCUG